CGUAGAUGGAUGUUUAAGUCAGUUGUGAAAGUUUGCGGCUCAACCGUAAAAUUGCAGUUGAUACUGGAUACCUUGAGUGCAGUUGAGGCAGGCGGAAUUCGUGGUGUAGCGGUGAAAUGCUUAGAUAUCACGAAGAACUCCGAUUGCGAAGGCAGCCUGCUAAGCUGCAACUGACAUUGAGGCUCGAAAGUGUGGGUAUCAAACAGGAUUAGAUACCCUGGUAGUCCACACGGUAAACGAUGAAUACUCGCUGUUUGCGAUAUACUGCAAGCGGCCAAGCGAAAGCGUUAAGUAUUCCACCUGGGGAGUACGCCGGCAACGGUGAAACUCAAAGGAAUUGACGGGGGCCCGCACAAGCGGAGGAACAUGUGGUUUAAUUCGAUGAUACGCGAGGAACCUUACCCGGGCUUAAAUUGCAGAUGAAUUACGGUGAAAGCCGUAAGCCGCAAGGCAUCUGUGAAGGUGCUGCAUGGUUGUCGUCAGCUCGUGCCGUGAGGUGUCGGCUUAAGUGCCAUAACGAGCGCAACCCUUGUUGUCAGUUACUAACAGGUUCCGCUGAGGACUCUGACAAGACUGCCAUCGUAAGAUGUGAGGAAGGUGGGGAUGACGUCAAAUCAGCACGGCCCUUACGUCCGGGGCUACACACGUGUUACAAUGGGGGGUACAGAGGGCCGCUACCACGCGAGUGGAUGCCAAUCCCCAAAACCUCUCUCAGUUCGGACUGGAGUCUGCAACCCGACUCCACGAAGCUGGAUUCGCUAGUAAUCGCGCAUCAGCCACGGCGCGGUGAAUACGUUCCCGGGCCUUGUACACACCGCCCGUCAAGCCAUGGGAGCCGGGGGUACCUGAAGUGCGUAACCGCGAGGAGCGCCCUAGGGUAAAACUGGUGACUGC
rnacentral:rRNA from 1 species